rnacentral:lncRNA from 1 species
UUCUCCAUCAUUCUCCAUCAUUGGCAGGAGUGAAGAGGCUGUGGAGGAGAAAGCAGCCUUCUGCCCCAACACCUGGAGCACUGCUGUCCUUCAGUUUCCCUCGAUAGCCCCUGGAACAGAUGACCAGGGAAAAGCAUGUGAUUUCAGCCAGGACACGGAGGAGAGAGGAGCUUCCC